UCCAUUUCUUGAAGAUAAGUAUUGUUCAUAAGUAUAGCAAUGGUCGUACUAAUCAGGUGAGUUGCAGAAGGAUCUAAAUGUGGGUGUAGAUGGUGAACUAGUGAACUAGUGAAGUCAAAGUUUAUCAAGUGAUUGCCCUAAUAUUGAAUAUUGAAUGGCAGGGUCAACAAGAUUUCACGUUCAGAAAUCAGAGGAGGAAUGGAGGGCCAUUCUCUGUCUGUCUCUGUCUGUCUCCCUCAUGAAUUCACAGACAGUAGAGAGAGGGCAAGGAACAGAGGAAUAGCCAAAGUACCAGGGAGCAAAAACAGGAGUGUUCUUCAAGUUUUUGGCUCUUCAUCAACCAUAGCACCAAGAGAAAGAGAAUGAUGGCCAAGGAGGGAGCUGACUGAAGCUUAAGAGGGAGCUGCGUUCCACUCACCCAACUGUUCUUCGAGUUUCUUUGCUAGUUUAUUCAAUUUCUGUUAACACAACUACCACCACAAGCAAAGAGAGGUUUGGGCUCAAGAGAAAAACAGGGACAAGUCUUGUGUAUUUGAUCAACAAAGAGGCAAGGUUGGAGUUCCCUGACAAUUGUUUGUAACAAAAAAUCCAUCUACUAUCCCUUAUGAAAUCACUAAGGCUGGGAUGAAGUUACCAUUAGGUGGAUACCUUUUUGGAUUAUGAUAAUUUAUCAAAGGGAAUUGUCUUUACUACAGAUCGGCCAUAUCAACCAGGUGAGCAGGUAAACAUAGAUUGA